GGGGAAGCACAGAGGCCAGCCACAGGUGCAAACCAACUGCGUCACUGCUGGAUGGAUGCCACGCCUCAGGUUGAGAACUCCUGUUAGCAUUGGAUUGGUAGCAGCGACCGUUUUGUUGACAAUGUUGACCUUUUCGUGGUGGAAUUAAGGACAUUUCUUCAACACUGUGGUUGACAUCCAAGACCAGUACUGGGGCAUGUGGCCACCCAUCACUACAAGGAGAGGAUGGAAAAGUGAGUACGUGACAAAAUGAAGUCGAGUGCG